rnacentral:lncRNA from 1 species
CGUACUUCUCGAACACGCGCCUCAAGCUGUCGGGAGAGGCUGAACAGUUGGCUCCUCAGUCCCCAGUUCUCGAGUACAACAACCAUGACCACGACCACGACUGCAACCUCGACCUUGACCUUGACCACGACCACGACCACGACCAGAACCCCAGCUUCCAGUGGAAGGGAGAAGAACCCUGGCUGACAUCCCCAGGAAAGACAAGCCCAGCACGGAAAGCUCCGUGGGUAACCGUCUCCCAAGCACUGCUCGAGCCCAGCACAGGGGCCUUGGACACCCGCCUCUGGAUUCUCUGUGCAAGCGCUCACCCUAUGUGGAUUCAGUCAGGACUUUGGCAGCCUCUGAGACCAGAAGGCCAUGAAGAAGGAAGCCCACUAGAAGCAGUGCCCACUACCCACCCACGCUCACUCUGACAGAAGCACACAAGCUUUGCACUGCCCGUCCUGUGCCAGGUAUUUAAUCAGAUCUCCAAUCAAGGCAGACGCACAGGGGUAUUAAUGAUGUUCAAUGAAGAAUGUGUAACCUACUCUAAAAGGUGAUUAAAUGGUUUUACCAGGGACACAUGAAGAUAUGUUUACACCAGUGUUCAUAACAGCACCAUGCACAGAGCCAAAAGGUGGAAACCACAUAAGUGUUCAUCAGUGGAAGAACUGAUCAACAAAAUGUGGUAUAUACCUACAGUGGAAUAUUAUUCAGCCUUGAAAAGGAAGGAAAUCUGACACAUGCUGCAACGUAGUUGAACCUGGAGGACAUCAUGCUAAGUCAAAUAAGCUAGACAUGAAAGGACAAAUAUUGUAUCAUUGCACUUACAUGAGGUACCUAAAAUACUGAAAUUAUUAGAGAAAUAAAACAAGGGAUACCAGCAGCCAGGGCAGGCUAUAAUGAGGUGUUACUGUUUAAUGGGUAGAGUACUAGUCUGUGAUGAUGAAAACGUUCUGGAGAUAGAAGGUGUUGAUGGUUGUACAACGAUGGGAAUGUCCUUAAAGCAGCUAAACUAUACACUUAAAAUGGUGAAAAUUGUAAUUUAUACAUGUAUACUAUACCAAAACAAAAAUAAUUAAAAGUUUAAUGGAAGAAAAAGUUGCAUGGCUAUUUAUAAAGGCUGUAUUUUCAUUGUGAAAUUUAGCCUUUAGUAUUAUAAAGAGUCCUUCUAUGUCCCUUUGGUCUACAUUUGUUUGAUAUUAAGAUCUACCACCUCUGUUUCCUUUUGCUUUUGCAUUU